rnacentral:rRNA from 1 species
GAGUUUGAUCAUGGCUCAGAUUGAACGCUGGCGGCAUGCCUUACACAUGCAAGUCGAACGGCAGUACGGGAGCGAUCCUGGUGGCGAGUGGCGAACGGGUGAGUAAUACAUCGGAACGUGCCCAGUAGUGGGGGAUAACCCGGCGAAAGCCGGACUAAUACCGCAUACGACCUACGGGUGAAAGCAGGGGAUCGCAAGACCUUGCGCUAUCGGAGCGGCCGAUGUCAGAUUAGCUUGUUGGCGGGGUAAAAGCCCACCAAGGCGACGAUCUGUAGCUGGUCUGAGAGGACGACCAGCCACACUGGGACUGAGACACGGCCCAGACUCCUACGGGAGGCAGCAGUGGGGAAUUUUGGACAAUGGGCGCAAGCCUGAUCCAGCCAUGCCGCGUGCGGGAAGAAGGCCUUCGGGUUGUAAACCGCUUUUGUCAGGGAAGAAACGCUCCGGGCUAAUACCUCGGAGUAAUGACGGUACCUGAAGAAUAAGCACCGGCUAACUACGUGCCAGCAGCCGCGGUAAUACGUAGGGUGCAAGCGUUAAUCGGAAUUACUGGGCGUAAAGCGUGCGCAGGCGGCUUUGCAAGACAGAUGUGAAAUCCCCGGGCUUAACCUGGGAACUGCAUUUGUGACUGCAUGGCUGGAGUGCGGC